rnacentral:rRNA from 1 species
AUUGAACGCUGGCGGCAGGCCUAACACAUGCAAGUCGAGCGGAUGAAGGGAGCUUGCUCCUGGAUUCAGCGGCGGACGGGUGAGUAAUGCCUAGGAAUCUGCCUGGUAGUGGGGGAUAACGUCCGGAAACGGGCGCUAAUACCGCAUACGUCCUGAGGGAGAAAGUGGGGGAUCUUCGGACCUCACGCUAUCAGAUGAGCCUAGGUCGGAUUAGCUAGUUGGUGGGGUAAAGGCCUACCAAGGCGACGAUCCGUAACUGGCCUGAGAGGAUGAUCAGUCACACUGGAACUGAGACACGGUCCAGACUCCUACGGGAGGCAGCAGUGGGGAAUAUUGGACAAUGGGCGAAAGCCUGAUCCAGCCAUGCCGCGUGUGUGAAGAAGGUCUUCGGAUUGUAAAGCAUUUUAAGUUGGGAGGAAGGGCAGUAAGUUAAUACCUUGCUGUUUUGACGUUACCAACAGAAUAAGCACCGGCUAACUUCGUG